GGGCAUCUGGUGUAGUUGGUUAUCACGCUCGCUUAGCAAGCAAAGGCUUGUGAAAUCAGCUCUUUAACUGUUGCGAGAGGUGAGCGGUUCAAUUCCGCUGUUGUCCA